GACAGAGGUGCCAAGCGUUAGGCGGAAUCACUGGGCUUAAAGCGUGUGUAGGCGGGCGAUCAAGUACCUUGUGAAAUCCCACGGCUCAACCGUGGAACUGCUGGGUAUACUGGUUGUCUUGAGCCAGCUAGGGGCGAGCGGAACAGACGGUGGAGCGGUGAAAUGCUUAGAUAUGACAUAGAACACCUAUUGCGAAGGCAGCUUACUACGCAUAUAUUGACGCUGAGGCACGAAAGCGUGGGGAUCAAACAGG
rnacentral:rRNA from 1 species